rnacentral:rRNA from 1 species
UACGGAGGGAGCAAGCGUUACUCGGAAUUAUUGGGCGUAAAGGGCGCGUAGGCGCUCCGACAAGUCUGGUGUGAAAGCCCACAUGUUAACUGUGGAAGUGCAUUAGAAACUGUUGGAUUUGAGUUCAGGAGGGGAAGGCAGAAUUCCCGGUGUAGCGGUGAAAUGCGUAGAGAUCGGGAGGAAUACCAGUGGCGAAGGCGGCCUUCUGGACUGACACUGACGCUGAGGCGCGAAAGCCAGGGGAGCAAACGGG